rnacentral:rRNA from 1 species
GAUGAACGCUGGCGGCGUGCCUAAUACAUGCAAGUCGAGCGAACAGAUGAUGAGCUUUCUCCUCUGACGUUAGCGGCUGACGGGUGAGUAACACGUGGAUAACCUACCUAUAAUUCUUGGAUAACUUCGGGAAACCGGUUCUAAUACCGGAUAAUAUAUUGUACCGCAUGGUUCACUAGUUAAAGACGGUUUUGCUGUCUCUUAUAGAUGUUUCCGCGCCGCAUUAGCUAGUUGGUAAGGUAACGGCUUACCAAGGCAACGAUGCGUAGCCGACCUGAGAGGGUGAUCGGCCAAACUGGAACUGAGACACGGACCAGACUACUACGGGAGGAAGCAGUAGGGAAUAUUGGGCAAUGGGCGAAAGCAUGACGGAGCAACGCCGCGUGAGUGAUGAAGGUAUUCGGAUCGUAAAACUAUGUUAUUAGGGAAGAAAAAAAGUGAAAGAAAAUAAGGAGGUAUUGACGGUACCUAAAGAGAAAGCAACGGCUAACUACGUG